CNCCCUAUCGUCUAGAGGCCUAGGACAUCGCCCUUUCACGGCGGUAACCGGGGUUCGAAUCCCCGUAGGGACGCCA
rnacentral:tRNA from 1 species